UAACUACACAACACUACAACAAUUAUGCUUUUUUAUGGGAGUUUUUUUGUGAGAAUUUUAGAAACUUCCACAAUAUAUUUGAUUUCUAACAAUUUAAAAAACUUCCGCAGAUAUAAUUAAUAAAGACUCCACUAUUAGUUCGAAAUUAAAAAUAAAACUCCCCUGCUUCACCCCUGAAAAGAAGAACUCUCACUCAAACAGGGGGAGAGUGAGAUCUGAGUGUUAGCAAAACAGAGAUUCAGAGAGAAGACAAAGCUCGCCACCAAAACCCUAAGUUUGCCGCCGUAGCCAUUGCCGCCUCUAUCGCCACCGCAGUUCAUCUCCUCUCCAGAUCUAGUUGAUCGCAACGUCAAAGCCUUCGCGUACUAUUGUCUUGACCUAAUUGCAUCUUACAUUUCAUGCUAUUCGAAUCGAAGCUGUCAAGUUACAAAUAGAAUAGGAAAAAAACAAGUUAAGACUAAACUUGAGUCUAUAUAUGAUGAUUCAUGAUCUUGAGGCACUUCAAAAUACAAAAACUUCUUUUGGAACAGAACAGACCACAUGUUGCAAUAGUCUCAGUAUGCGAGGCACCCAAUGAUCAUCAUGUUCUUCUUGAGGGAACCUUCCUCAAGCCUAACAUGGUUACCCCUGGCUCUGAUAGCCCAAAGAACACCUUGCACAUAUCCAGGCAAAAACAUUACAUUCCGUGUCAAUGAAGGUUCUAUACCCUUUUGGCUAUCACUCUUGGCAGAGUGGGAGGAUGGAGAUGGAGACAUCAGCUCCAUGUAUUUAUAAGAAGUUCUAAGGGAUGGACAGUGGCAAGAGCAAAAUGCAGCCAUAAUUUAAAAGGGUGUAAUGAUGACCACUUGAUCCUUGUUAAUUUUCAUACGAGAAUUCUAUUUAAGUAUUGUAUGAGUAUUAGAAAUGUGUUUUUUUUAAGUGCAUAUUUGCAUUCAAUGUUGAUCAUCCUUAGAUUAAAUAAUUAUGAAAUGAAAGAGAUUUAUGAUCUAAUAGAAGGUUGUGAAAUAGAAGAGUAUUUUAGGAGGAAUAAUUAUGAGGGGUUGAAUUUUGGGGCAUCGAUAAAAAAAUUUAUUAAAGGUUUGUUAGGGCAUUUGAAACUAACACAUGUGACUAAUUUUUU